UACGUAGGUGGCAAGCGUUGUCCGGAAUUAUUGGGCGUAAAGCGCGCGCAGGCGGUUCCUUAAGUCUGAUGUGAAAGCCCCCGGCUCAACCGGGGAGGGUCAUUGGAAACUGGGGAACUUGAGUGCAGAAGAGAAGAACGGAAUUCCACGUGUAGCGGUGAAAUGCGUAGAGAUGUGGAGGAACACCAGUGGCGAAGGCGGCUCUUUGGUCUGUAACUGACGCUGAGGCGCGAAAGCGUGGGGAGCAAACAGG
rnacentral:rRNA from 1 species